UACGGGGGGCAAGCGUUGUUCGGAAUUACUGGGCGUAAAGGGCUCGUAGGCGGCCAACUAAGUCAUACGUGAAAUCCCUCGGCUUAACCGAGGAACUGCCGUCCAAACUGCUUUGCUUGAGACCGGGAGAGGUGAGUGGAAUUCCAGUGUAGCGGUGAAAUGCGUAGAUAUUGGGAGGAACACCAGUGGCGAAGGCGGCUCACUGGACCGGUACUGACGCUGAUGCGCGAAAGCGUGGGAGCAACGG
rnacentral:rRNA from 1 species